UACGUAGGGGGCUAGCGUUGUCCGGAAUCACUGGGCGUAAAGCGCACGUAGGCGGCUUUCUAAGUCAGGGGGUGAAAUCCUGGAGCUCAACUCCAGAACUGCCUUUGAUACUGGAGAGCUCGAGUCCGGAAGAGGUGAGUGGAACUGCGAGUGUAGAGGUGAAAUUCGUAGAUAUUCGCAAGAACACCAGUGGCGAAAGGCGGCUCACUGGUCCGGUACUGACGCUGAGGUGCGAAAGCGUGGGGAGCAAACAGG
rnacentral:rRNA from 1 species